rnacentral:rRNA from 1 species
GGUUGCCAUCAUAACAGCACUAAUGCACCGGAUCCCAUCAGAACUCCGCAGUUAAGCAUGCUUGGGCGAGAGUAGUACUAGGAUGGGUGACCCCCUGGGAAGUCCUCGUAUUGCAACCC